rnacentral:rRNA from 1 species
UAAUCAUGCAAGUCGAGCGGAAUGAUGAAGAAGCUUGCUUCUUCUGAUUUUAGCGGCGGACGGGUGAGUAACACGUGGGCAACCUACCUUGUAAAUUGGGAUAACUCCGGGAAACCGGGGCUAAUACCGAAUAAACCAUUUUGCUUCAUGGCAAGAUGUUGAAAGGCGGCUUCGGCUGUCACUACUAAAUGGGCCCGCGGCGUAUUAACUAGUUGGUAGGGUAAUGGCCUACCAAGGCGACGAUACGUAGCCGACCUGAGAGGGUGAUCGGCCACACUGGGACUGAGACACGGCCCAGACUCCUACGGGAGGCAGCAGUAGGGAAUCUUCCACAAUGGACGAAAGUCUGAUGGAGCAACGCCGCGUGAGUGAAGAAGGUUUUCGGAUCGUAAAACUCUGUUGUAAGGGAAGAACACGUACAAAAGUAACUGCUCGUACCUUGACGGUACCUUAUUACAAAGCCACGGCUAACUACGUGCCACCAACCGCGGUAAUACGUAUGUGGCAAGCGUUGUCCGGAAUUAUUGGGCGUAAAGCGCGCGCACGCAGUUCUUUAAGUCUGAUGUGAAAGCCCACGGCUCAACCGUGGAGGGUCAUUGGAAACUGGAAAACUUGAGUACAGAAGAGGAAAGCGGAAUUCCACGUGUAGCGGUGAAAUGCGUAGAGAUGUGGAGGAACACCACUGGCGAACGCGGCUUUCUGGUCUGUAACUGACGCUGAGGCACGAAAGCGUGGGGAGCAAACAGGAUUACAUACCCUGGUAGUCCACGCCGUAAACGAUGAGUGCUAAGUGUUAUGGGGUUUCCGCCUCUUACUGCUGCAACUAACGCAUUAAGCACUCCGCCUGGGGAGUAC